ensembl:lncRNA
CUCCACCACCGCAUGUCUCCACCUCCACAGCAGAAUCCUGCACUGUGUCGGGUUCUCAUGAAUACUAAGACGUUCCUCCGUGUUCGAGCCAACAGACACACCAGACUGAACGUCGACGACCUCUGCUGGUGCAGGUGCUACGUCAAAUCUGCCCCAUUACGCCCCCACAGCGCCGGAGCCCACCUAGACUGCACCCAGGCUGUCAGGAUCGGGAAGCUGAAGAGGAGGAAGCAUGAGGAGGGACAGGAAGCUUCGUCCAACUCGGUGCCGCUGGAGGACGAGUGGAACGAGAGGAGGAGGAUCCAGAUGACGUCUCUGGGCUUUAAAGGUGAGCAUCAGCGGAGGGUAAAGGAUGUGAAGCUGAAGAGGCGCUGAACUUUUCAGUCCGGAUUACAGCAGCAGGAUGCCGGAAGGUUCUCUGAACAUUUCCUUUAACNNNNNNNNNNGUC